AUACCUUUCUCGGCCUUUUGGCUAAGAUCAAGUGUAGUAUCUGUUCUUAUCAGUUUAAUAUCUGAUACGUGGGCCAUUGGUCCACAUGAUAUUAAAUUAAUUUUUUUUAUGGGGAGGGUCCACCACAGUAGCUUGCUACUGGGACUCUCACGCGUCGCCCAUGCGUUGCACUAUUGCAAGGGCCUGGCGCACCCACC